rnacentral:tRNA from 1 species
UCCCUCAUAGCUCAGUCGGUAAAGAAUCUGCCUGCAAUGCAGGAGACCCAGGUUCGAUUCCUGGCUCGGGAA